rnacentral:rRNA from 1 species
UACAGAGGGUGCGAGCGUUAAUCGGAAUUACUGGGCGUAAAGCGUGCGUAGACGGUUAUUUAAGUCGGGUGUGAAAGCCCCGGGCUCAACCUGGGAAUUGCAUUCGAGACUGAAUAGCUAGGGUACGGUAGAGGGAAGCGGAAUUUCCGGUGUAGAGGUGAAAUGCGUAGAUAUCGGAAGGAACAUCAGUGGCGAAAGCGGCUUCCUGGACCAGUACCGACGUUCAGGCACGAAAGCGUGGGGAGCAAACAGG